AGCGAACGCUGGCGGCAGGCUUAACACAUGCAAGUCGAACGCCCCGCAAGGGGGGUGGCAGACGGGUGAGUAACACGUGGGAACGUACCCUUUGGUUCGGAAUAACUUGGGGAAACUCAAGCUAAUACCGGAUAAGCCCUUAUGGGGAAAGGUUUACUGCCGAAGGAUCGGCCCGCGUCUGAUUAGCUAGUUGGUGAGGUAAUGGCUCACCAAGGCGACGAUCAGUAGCUGGUCUGAGAGGAUGAUCAGCCACACUGGGACUGAGACACGGCCCAGACUCCUACGGGAGGCAGCAGUGGGGAAUAUUGGACAAUGGGGGCAACCCUGAUCCAGCCAUGCCGCGUGAGUGAUGAAGGCCUUAGGGUUGUAAAGCUCUUUUACCCGGGACGAUAAUGACUGUACCGGGGGAAUAAGCCCCGGCUAACUUCGUGCCAGCAGCCGCAGUAA
rnacentral:rRNA from 1 species